UACGUAGGUGGCAAGCGUUAUCCGGAAUUAUUGGGCGUAAAGCGCGCGCAGGCGGCUAUCCAAGUCAGUGGUGAAAGCCCGGAGCUCAACUCCGGAACUGCCAUUGAAACUGUUUAGCUUGAGGACGAGAGAGGUGAGUGGAAUUCCCAGUGUAGAGGUGAAAUUCGUAGAUAUUGGGAAGAACACCGGUGGCGAAGGCGGCUCACUGGCUCGUAUCUGACGCUCAGGCGCGACAGCGUGGGGAUCAAACAGG
rnacentral:rRNA from 1 species